rnacentral:rRNA from 1 species
UACGUAGGGUGCGAGCGUUAAUCGGAAUUACUGGGCGUAAAGCGUGCGCAGGCGGUUCGUUGUGUCGGCGGUGAAAGCCCCGGGCUCCAACCUGGGAAUGGCCGUUGAAACUGGCGAACUGGAGUGUGGCAGAGGGGGGGGUGGAAUUCCGCGUGUAGCAGUGAAAUGCGUAGAGAUGCGGAGGAACACCGAUGGCGAAGGCAGCCCCCUGGGCUGACACUGACGCUCAGGCACGAAAGCGUGGGGAGCAAACAGG